rnacentral:rRNA from 1 species
UACGGGGGGAGCAAGCGUUGUUCGGAUUUACUGGGCGUAAAGGGCUCGUAGGUGGCCAACUAAGUCAGACGUGAAAUCCCUCAGCUUAACUGGGGAACUGCGUCUGAUACUGGAUGGCUUGAGUUUGGGAGAGGGAUGCGGAAUUCCAGGUGUAGCGGUGAAAUGCGUAGAUAUCUGGAGGAACACCGGUGGCGAAGGCGGCAUCCUGGACCAACACUGACACUGAUGAGCGAAAGCCAGGGGAGCAAACGGG